GACGAACGCUGGCGGCGUGCUUAACACAUGCAAGUCGCACGGAGUGGCGAACGGGUGAUUAACACGAGGGUGAUCUGCCUUGCACUUCGGGAUAAGCUUGGGAAACUCGGCCUAAUACCGGAUAGUGCAAGAUGAGCUCGUGGCCUAUCAGCUUGUCGGUGGGGUAAUGGCCUACCAAGGCGUCGACGGGUAGCCGGCCUGAGAUGGUGUACGGCCACAUUGGGACUGAGAUACGGCGCAGGCACCUACGGGAGGCAGCAGUGGGGAAUAUUGCACGAUGGGCGGAAGGCUGAUGCAGCGACGCCGCGUGGGGGAUGAAGGCCUUCGGGUUGUAAACUCCUUUCGACAGGGACGCGGUACCUGUAUAAGAAGCACCGGCUAACUACGUGCCAGCAGCCGCGGUAAA
rnacentral:rRNA from 1 species